rnacentral:lncRNA from 1 species
CUCUAUGCCUGUUCUUCAACUGCUGUGGCUACCACUAUUCCAAGAGACAGAAUAAGAAAGUUAAAGACAACAAGAAAUGGGUCUGUAAGGCCCGAAGUGAGUGGUCUGGAAAACGACUGGGCUCACUCACAUGAAUAUAAGGCUAAUCCAUUCAGGAACAGACUAAGUCUCGUCCUGACCUACUUGUUGUUUUCCUGUAAACACGACUCAAGGUUUUAUCCACUUGAUCAACAGGUAAGUUCAUAGUAAACCAGAGUAACCAUUUUUGUACAGUGAAUAAAGUAUUUUUAAU